UUUUUUUUCCCCUAUAACUGUUCUGUUUUCUUUUCCCCUUCUUCCUUUCCUUUGGCCCUAUGUCUUUCCCACUAUGCACAGAUACGACUUCACUUACAACUCC